rnacentral:rRNA from 1 species
GUGGGGAAUAUUGGGCAAUGGACGCAAGUCUGACCCAGCAACGCCGCGUGAAGGAAGAAGGCUUUCGGGUUGUAAACUUCUUUUAAGAGGGAAGAGGAGAAGACGGUACCUCUUGAAUAAGCCACGGCUAACUACGUGCCAGCAGCCGCGGUAAUACGUAGGUGGCAAGCGUUGUCCGGAUUUACUGGGUGUAAAGGGCGUGCAGCCGGGCCGGCAAGUCAGAUGUGAAAUCCCCAGGCUCAACCUGGGAACUGCAUUUGAAACUGUUGGUCUUGAGUAUCGGAGAGGUAAUCGGAAUUCCUUGUGUAGCGGUGAAAUGCGUAGAUAUAAGGAAGAACACCAGUGGCGAAGGCGGAUUACUGGACGACAACUGACGGUGAGGCGCGAAAGCGUGGGGAGCAAACAGGAUUAGAAACCCUAGUAGUCC